CAAGUCGAACGGUAACAGGAAGAAGCUUGCUUCUUUGCUGACGAGUGGCGGACGGGUGAGCAAUGUCUGGGAAACUGCCUGAUGGAGGGGGAUAACUACUGGAAACGGUAGCUAAUACCGCAUAACGUCGCAAGACCAAAGAGGGGGACCUUCGGGCCCCUUGCCAUCGGAUGUGCCCAGAUGGGAUUAGCUAGCAGGUGGGGUAACGGCUCACCUAGGCGACGAUCCCUAGCUGGUCUGAGAGGAUGACCAGCCACACUGGAACUGAGACACGGUCCAGACUCCUACGGGAGGCAGCAGUGGGGAAUAUUGCACAAUGGGCGCAAGCCUGAUGCAGCCAUGCCGCGUGUAUGAAGAAGGCCUUCGGGUUGUAAAGUACUUUCAGCGGGGAGGAAGGGAGUAAAGUUAAUACCUUUGCUCAUUGACGUUACCCGCAGAAGAAGCACCGGCUAACUCCGUGCCAGCAGCCGCGGUAAUACGGAGGGUGCAAGCGUUAAUCGGAAUUACUGGGCGUAAAGCGCACGCAGGCGGUUUGUUAAGUCAGAUGUGAAAUCCCCGGGCUCAACCUGGGAACUGCAUCUGAUACUGGCAAGCUUGAGUCUCGUAGAGGGGGGUAGAAUUCCAGGUGUAGCGGUGAAAUGCGUAGAAAUCUGGAGGAAUACCGGUGGCGAAGG
rnacentral:rRNA from 1 species